GACGAACGCUGGCGGCGUGCUUAACACAUGCAAGUCGAACGAAGUGGCGAACGGGUGAGUAACGCGUAAUCAACCUGCCCUUCAGAGGGGGACAACAGUUGGAAACGACUGCUAAUAACGCAUACUGAAGGAGGGGAGUGCGUCUGAUUAGCUAGUUGGAGGGGUAAAGGCCCACCAAGGCGAUGAUCAGUAGCCGGUCUGAGAGGAUGAACGGCCACAUUGUGACUGAGACACGGCCCCGACUCCUACGGGAGGCAGCAGUGGGGAAUCUUCCGCAAUGGACGAAAGUCUGACGGAGCAACGCCGCGUGAGUGAUGACGGCCUUCGGGUUGUAAAGCUCUGUUAAUCGGGACGCGGUACCGGAAUAGAAAGCCACGGCUAACUACGUGCCAGCAGCCGCGGUAAUAC
rnacentral:rRNA from 1 species